AGCAGCCGCGGUAAUUCCAGCUCCAAUAGCGUAUAUUAAAGUUGUUGCAGUUAAAAAGCUCGUAGUUGAAUUUCGGGGUUAGUAGGUUGGUCAUGCCUCUGGUAUGCACUGGUCUCACUGAUUCCUCCUUCCUGAUGAGCCGUAAUGCCAUUAAUUUGGUGUUGCGGGGAAUUUGGACUGUUACUUUGAAAAAAUUAGAGUGUUUAAAGCAAGCUAACGCUUGAAUACAUUAGCAUGGAAUAAUGAAAUAGGACGUUCGAUCCUAUUUUGUUGGUUUCUAGGAUUGACGUAAUGAUUAAUAGGGAUAGUUGGGGGGCAUUAGUUAUUCAAUUGUUCAGAGGUGAAAUUCUUGGAUUUAUUGAAGACUAACUACUGCGAAAGCAUUUGCCAAGGAUGUUUUCAUUAAUCAAGAACGAAAGUUAGGGGAUCGAAGACGAUCAGAUACCGUCGUAGUCUUAACCAUAAACUAUGCCGACUAGGGAUCGGAUGAUGUUAAUUUUUAACGUACUCAUUACGGUGC
rnacentral:rRNA from 1 species